CCUAAUAAAAUCAUAUCUUAUUUCUAUGUGUUUGGCUUUAGGAAUGAGAUAUUUAGGAUAUAAGCCAGAAGUGAUCUCUAAAUGUAGAUUCCAAAGAUAGUUUUGAAAUCAAGUGUAGAUGGAAUCUUUUUCAAGUUAUUUCAAGGAGUAUUAAGAAUAAUAUUCAAAGAAAGGCACGGAUGAAAAUCCAACAUUUUUUUUUAAUAUAUUAAGUAUAUAGCAAAAUGAGAGCAAUCUAAUUAAUUUUCAGAGUAUAGUAUAAGAUCAAAUAAAAAUCAAACCUUAUAUACUUGAAAAACAUAAGAUUAUGUUGAAUCCUUAAUUCUUAAUGACUUUAAAGUUUUUUUUUUCAUGAUAUAAAAGUAUUGGGGCAUAGAUACCAAAACAUGAAUUUAUGCAGUGUAGGAUACAUAAAAUUCAAGGCUUUGAAAAUUCUUUUAGAGCUCUCUUAAAAACUUUCUUUUACUUCUUUAAAGAUCAUAGCAUCAAAAUCAAUUAAAAUGAAUUGGCUCAGGAUUGAAACACUAAAGUGCAAGCCAAUAAGAGCUCAUUAGUAGAUUCCAAAGUAAAUUUCCAAUACUAAGACAAAUGGAAUCCUUUUCACUUAGUUUUCAAAACAAGUGAUUUACCAAUUAAGUACAGAUAAAAAUCCAACUUUCAAAAGAUAUUCAAUGAAGCACAA
rnacentral:lncRNA from 1 species